rnacentral:piRNA from 1 species
UGCUGGGAUACAUGCAGGCAGAA